rnacentral:tRNA from 1 species
UAGGAUAUGGUGUAAGGGUAGCACGAAGAAUUUUGAAUUCUUAGGUCUAGGUUCAAUUCCUGUUGUUCUAG